rnacentral:rRNA from 1 species
GACGAACGCUGGCGGCGUGCUUAACACACGCAAGUCGAACGGAAAGGCCCUGCUUUUGUGGGGUGCUCGAGUGGCGAACGGGUGAGUAACACGUGAGUAACCUGCCCUUGACUUUGGGAUAACUUCAGGAAACUGGGGCUAAUACCGGAUAGGAGCUCCUGCUGCAUGGUGGGGGUUGGAAAGUUUCGGCGGUUGGGGAUGGACUCGCGGCUUAUCAGCUUGUUGGUGGGGUAGUGGCUUACCAAGGCUUUGACGGGUAGCCGGCCUGAGAGGGUGACCGGCCACAUUGGGACUGGGAUACGGCCCAGACUCCUACGGGAGGCAGAAGUGGGGAAUAUUGCACAAUGGGCGGAAGCCUGAUGCAGCAACGCCGCGUGCGGGAUGACGGCCUUCGGGUUGUAAACCGCUUUCGCCUGUGACGAAGCGUGAGUGACGGUAAUGGGUAAAGAAGCACCGGCUAACUACGU